rnacentral:misc_RNA from 1 species
GAAAAGUCGGACGCACUGCUGCGCGUCUCUGCGCGAGAAUAUUCUAAGACUUAAUUGAGCCCCAAAUAAUUAUUUUAACUCAAAAAAUAUUAAAAAAGGAGGCCACUAACGCAUAGAUACAGAAAAAGUAUUGAUUUUCGUCCAAGAUGGCGGACGACGAGCAAUUCAGUUUGUGCUGGAACAAUUUCAACACAAAUCUGUCGGCUGGGUUCCACGAGUCGCUAUGUCGCGGCGAUUUGGUGGACGUUUCCCUUGCGGCGGAGGGGCAGAUCGUGAAGGCCCACCGAUUGGUUCUAUCGGUGUGCUCGCCCUUCUUCCGCAAAAUGUUCACCCAAAUGCCCUCCAACACCCAUGCCAUCGUAUUUUUGAAUAACGUUAGCCAUUCGGCUCUGAAGGACCUGAUCCAGUUUAUGUAUUGCGGGGAGGUGAAUGUGAAGCAGGAUGCCCUACCCGCGUUUAUCAGCACCGCGGAAUCGCUGCAAAUCAAGGGGUUAACGGAUAAUGAUCCUGCGCCGCAGCCACCGCACGAGCCCAGCCCCCCGCCAGCCGCACCCCAUGUACAACAGCAGCAAGUGGCUGCUCAGCGCGUACAGCGCCAGCAGCCGCGUCCUGCCGCCCGCUACAAGAUUGAGACCGUGGACGAGGGAUUGGGCGACGAGAAGGGCACCACCCAGAUUGUCAUCCAGACCACGUCAGCACCACAAGCCACCAUUGUACAACAGCAACCGCAGCAGCAGCCGACCCAAAUCCAGACGCAGCAGCUGCAGACAGGAACCACGACAACGGCCACCCUGGUGACGACCAACAAACGCUCCGCCCAGCGCUCUAAUUUGGCCCAGAGCAGUAGCGCCGGUGUCAAGCGUACGAAAACGGCUAACGUAAUGGACCCACUGGAAUCGGAAACUGGAACAACGGCUACCACCACAACGCAGCAAAUAGUGCCGCAGCAAAUCACCGUUCAGACCACUGUUGUAUCCGCGGCGGAAAAGCUACCUCAGUCGCAGGUACGCCAGCAGCAGCAACAACAGGAGGAAGCUGAAUACAUUGAUCUCCCCAUGGAAAUAAACACGAAAUCUGAACCGGACUACACUGAGGACCACGGUGAUGCUGCAGGCGAUGCGGAAGGCCCUUACGUUGAAGACGACGCCUACGGCGAUAUGCGCUAUGACGACAGCUACUUCACCGAGAACGAGGAUGCGGGCAACCAGGCGGCGAACACCAGUGGCGGUGCCGUCUCUGCCACCACAUCCAAGGCUGUAGUCAAGCAGCAAAGCUACAGCGAUUCUUCGUUCGUCGAGGGUGGCGCGGAUCAGAGCACUACAGAGGCUCAAGGUCAGUUUGUGCAUGCCAUGCCGCUGGGCGUGUGGAUCGAGAAACAGGACUACUACUUCCAGCGCAAUCAGAAGCAGGGCGUCAACCUUGUCUUCAACGGAUACAUGUACAAGAAAGAGGCCUGCUUCCGGGCAACGGUCAACUGGGUUUGUUCCGAAGGCAAUGGCAAGCGAGUGACCGAAAACAAGUGCUCGGCGCGGGCCAUCACAAAGUACGAUGGCGGGAUUAAGCUCGGCAAGAAUGCCCACAAUCAUCCGCCUCGGUUUAUUGGUGCAUGCCAACCAGUUAAGCUCCUGACCAAGCAGGAAUUAUACCCGACCUUUUAAAGUUAAAAACAAAACUUAGUAUAAUUAGUUUAGAGAAGAAGAAUGCAAUAUUUUUAAUGUAAUUUUAGCUAAUUAGUGCAUAUUCUUCUUCGACUUCUUCAGAAUCGUCGGAUGAGCAAAAAGGACCUGUGCGAAUUAAACGUAAUGCUCAGGGAGAGUUCCUACUGGUCGAUGGCGUCAAGUUUAAAAAGACUCGCGCCCUGUCCUAUCGCACCUACUAUCACUGUUUAACUGGAAAUUGCCCGGCUUAUUAUGUCCUCGUGGAGCUGGCUCGCCGUCCGCGUUUAACUAAGCACUUCGAGCACGCCCCUCACUGUCUCCGGUGCUAGUAGGAUGCAUGUACAACUCCCUUUUUUUUAUAAAACUAGACCAAAAUUAAAAUGUACAAUAUAUCCAAAAUCAUAAAAGA